CUAAUGCUUCACAGCCACAAUUUUUGUUCAUCGCUCUGUUCUUCUCCAAUCGAUUCAAACCCUAAUUAGCCUCCCUCACAUUUAUCGCUCUACUGCUAUCAUCAUCAUCUUCUGCAAAUGAUUCAACAAAUAGGUACACUCUUUGACAAACCCUAAAUAUCAACACGUCUGUUCUUCUUCUACGUUGAUUCAUCAUCCAGAAUUUAUAGCCUUGGAUUCAGAUCGAGUUUUGCUUUUCAAUCGAUUAUACACUCCAAAUGCUUAGGGUUUUCCAAUCCUUCAUUUCCGUUUUACAUUGCAGUCGCCUGUUCUUCUCCAUCUUCAAAUCUUCGAUCUUCAUAUGCAUACACAAAAUUGAACAAGAUUUUGCUGUUCUUAAUUCCGAGUAGAUUUAUAAAGAUUUGUAAGAUUACAAGAAUCAAAUGAUAGGUGUUGGGAAUCGAAAAUACAACAAUCCAACAUGGAGCCAUCUGCUAUUACUAAGUCCUUUCUCGUGUUAACUCAUCCAAUUAUAUCUUUAAUGAUCUUAUUGUGAUUCAUUGAUUUGGUGAUAACUUCAUUUGAUACGUUACAUACCCGUAGGUAGAGGGAUGGGUUCCAUCAAGUACGCAGCGAAUUCACUCCAACCUUCUCUCUGAAGUCCCAUGGCUCUUUGAAAACUGAAGCACCAAAGUUGUUGAUUUUCACUCCAGAUGAUUCAUUAUUAAACUUUGAUGUUGUCAUCUCCAUCUAGCGAUUAACAACCGGCAUCACAACAUCAAAGUUGUUGAUUUGAAGGUCAUCGUGUAGAUACCGACAUCUCAUAAUGCUAUUUUAGGGAAACCAAAUUCAAGUACUACAGAAUAUGUCAAUGGAGAAGAAAUCAGUGAACCAACGGAAAACGUAAUCUCUGAACAACAACGGUCAGCAAAGAUUCAUGAUUUUUGUUUCGUUCUUCCAUAUGGUGGCAUUGUUCUCAGUGGCGGACUUAUCAGUUUUAUUUUCUCAAGAAACAUUGCAUCUUUAAUGACAGGUGGACUCUAUGGUGGUGCUUUGCUGGCAUUUAGCGUAUUAAGCUUGAAAAUUUGGAAACGGUGGUUCAUUCUUAGACAAUUAGGAAUUGCUGCUGCACUCCUCUAGAAGAAUAUUCAAACUUAUUCACUGACAAAGAAGAUAUUGCCAACUGGAUUCCAUAUUGUUUUAAGAUUACUUCUUCGGUUGUGAAGAUCGGGUGAUUUUGGAAUAAGAAGUCUGGGCUGAGAUUCGUUUCGCUUGAGUGUCUCUCGAUUGCGGCUUCUUUUGAGCUACAAUGUAGUUUAGUUACUCUUCUAUUGGUUUGGGGCUCGGCUUCUCUCAAGUAAUAGAAAAUGGCAAGAUUGCUGGGAGUAUUACAGGAGUCUCGGCUGUCAGUGUAGCUAAUAAGUUAUGGCUAACUUUUCAAGCACUUGGAGACAUAGCAUUCACGUAUCCAUGAAACUUUUGGUAUACACAUAUUAAAGGAUACUGUGAAAUCACCACCAGCAGAAAACAAUAUUACUAAACGGGCUUCAGCAAUUGCUAUGCUUGUGACGGCUAUUUUCUAUCUCGGGUGUGGAUGUUUCGGGUAUGUUGCAUUUGGAAACACCAGGAAACCUCUUGACGGGAUUCGGGUUGUAUGAAUUGUAUUGGCUUAUCGGCUUUGCUAAUGCGUGCAUUUUUAUAUAUUUGCUAGGAGGAUAUCAGUGGACUCAAUCAAGCUGCAACCAUUAAGCAAGGAAGAAUUGCUGCAUACGGACUUUUUGAGAUAAUUAGUUUCUCAUCCUGCACCGCUGAUCACAAUAGAAAAACACUUGAUGUGAAGAAGCUGGUAAACUUCCGAGAAGGCGACCGAACUCCAGGUUCUACUACAGGCGGGUUGAUAUUUGCUUCUUUCUUCCUGUGUUUAUGACCCAUGUGAAGGUUCCAAAAGAGGAGAUGCAAAGUUAAAAGUCUAUGACAUAGGAAGUAUAAAAAAGGCAUUGAAGAAUCCAAAUGGUGGGACAAUGAAAAAUGAUAAGGUUGAAGAAGCUAAAAUAACUUCAUAAUCAUCUUCAAGAAUUUCAAAAUGAUAAGAUGCCUAUUUACGUCCUAUUUCUUUUGGAUCCUGCAAAUUCACUUGCAUAUAAGAAACAGGUUACAAAAGACCACACCCGACGCAGCUAUACCACAAGUCUCUUGGGAAAUGCUUGAGUUUUCAAUGUGUUUCGACUAUAAUUAUAUGUAGUGUAGAAUUUAUAAGAAAAAAAUGGAGAUUUGUUAAUUGUUAUGGUAUUGCAUACGAUUACCUGUGCGUGUGUUUGGUUUUUUUAAACCAAGCAUCUUGUGUGGGGUACAAGGAUUGUGUGGGGUACAAGGACUGGGACUCCAUUACUGGCUUUCUUGAUAUGCGAUGAAUGUUGUAAAUUAAACUUAGCAUCAAAUAAAGAAACAUUGAUAUUUAUUAUUA